GUCUACAGCCGUGCCACCCUGAGCAAGCCCAAUCCUGUCUGAUCUUGGAAGCUAAGCAGGGUCUGGCCUGCUUGGAUAGGAGACCACCUAGGAAGACCAGGUGCUGUAGGCA
rnacentral:rRNA from 1 species